rfam:Anaerotruncus colihominis DSM 17241 Scfld_02_1 genomic scaffold, whole genome shotgun sequence.
GCUGGUAUUUAUUACGCUGAGGUCCCACCUGUUCCCAUCCCGAACACAGAAGUUAAGCUCAGUUGUGCCGACAAUACUUGGCGGGUGACUGCCUGGAAAGAUAGGUCUUUGCCAGCA